UGAGUUUGGAUCUGGCUCAGAUUGAACGCUGGCGGCAUGCCUUACACAUGCAAGUCGAACGGCAGCACGGGUGCUUGCACCUGGUGGCGAGUGGCGAACGGGUGAGUAAUACAUCGGAACAUGUCCUGUAGUGGGGGAUAGCCCGGCGAAAGCCGGAUUAAUACCGCAUACGAUCCACGGAUGAAAGCGGGGGACCUUCGGGCCUCGCGCUAUAGGGUUGGCCGAUGGCUGAUUAGCUAGUUGGUGGGGUAAAGGCCUACCAAGGCGACGAUCAGUAGCUGGUCUGAGAGGACGACCAGCCACACUGGGACUGAGACACGGCCCAGACUCCUACGGGAGGCAGCAGUGGGGAAUUUUGGACAAUGGGCGAAAGCCUGAUCCAGCAAUGCCGCGUGUGUGAAGAAGGCCUUCGGGUUGUAAAGCACUUUUGUCCGGAAAGAAAUCCUUGGCUCUAAUACAGUCGGGGGAUGACGGUACCGGAAGAAUAAGCACCGGCUAACUACGUGCCAGCAGCCGCGGUAAUACGUAGGGUGCGRKCGUCACKWAUCGGAAUUACUGGGCGUAAAGCGUGCGCAGGCGGUUUGCUAAGACCGAUGUGAAAUCCCCGGGCUCAACCUGGGAACUGCAUUGGUGACUGGCAGGCUAGAGUAUGGCAGAGGGGGGUAGAAUUCCACGUGUAGCAGUGAAAUGCGUAGAGAUGUGGAGGAAUACCGAUGGCGAAGGCAGCCCCCUGGGCCAAUACUGACGCUCAUGCACGAAAKSRUSRRRWKCAAACAGGAUUAGAUACCCUGGUAGUCCACGCCCUAAACGAUGUCAACUAGUUGUUGGGGAUUCAUUUCCUUAGUAACGUAGCUAACGCGUGAAGUUGACCGCCUGGGGAGUACGGUCGCAAGAUUAAAACUCAAAGGAAUUGACGGGGACCCGCACAAGCGGUGGAUGAUGUGGAUUAAUUCGAUGCAACGCGAAAAACCUUACCUACCCUUGACAUGGUCGGAAUCCUGCUGAGAGGUGGGAGUGCUCGAAAGAGAACCGGCGCACAGGUGCUGCAUGGCUGUCGUCAGCUCGUGUCGUGAGAUGUUGGGUUAAGUCCCGCAACGAGCGCAACCCUUGUCCUUAGUUGCUACGCAAGAGCACUCUAAGGAGACUGCCGGUGACAAACCGGAGGAAGGUGGGGGAUGACGUCAAGUCCUCAUGGCCCUUAUGGGUAGGGCUUCACACGUCAUACAAUGGUCGGAACAGAGGGUUGCCAACCCGCGAGGGGGAGCUAAUCCCAGAAAACCGAUCGUAGUCCGGAUUGCACUCUGCAACUCGAGUGCAUGAAGCUGGAAUCGCUAGUAAUCGCGGAUCAGCAUGCCGCGGGUUGAAUACGUUCCCGGGUCUUGUACACACCGCCCGUCACACCAUGGGGAGUGGGUUUUACCAGAAGUGGCUAGUCUAACCGCAGGAGGACGGUCACACGGUAGAUUCAUGACUGGGGUGAGCGCAAAAGGAGAGAGCGCACACACAA
rnacentral:rRNA from 1 species